GACGAACCGCCCGAACGUUAUUCGGAAUCACUGGGCUUAAAGGGAGCGUAGGCGGGCUGCCAAGUCCGGGGUGAAAUCCUCCAGCUUAACUGGAGAACUGCCUCGGAUACUGGAAGUCUCGAGGAGGGUAGGGGCAAGUGGAACCGUGGGUGGAGCGGUGAAAUGCGUUGAUAUCCAUGGGAACUCCGGUGGCGAAGGCGACUUGCUGGACCCUUUCUGACGCUGAGGCUCGAAAGCCAGGGGAGCGAACGGG
rnacentral:rRNA from 1 species